rnacentral:lncRNA from 1 species
AAAACUCAAGGACAAAAUGUUAAAAAUGUUCUUUCUCUUAAUAGUUACUUCUUAAUAUCAAUAAUGACUUAAUAUGCAUACUUUUUCUUUUGAGACAGGGUCUUACUCUGUCUCUCACUCUGUCAUUCAGGCUAGAGUGCGAUGGCAUGAUCUCGAUUCACUGCAGCCUCGACCUCCUGGGCUCAGGUGAUCCCUCCUGCCUCAGCCUCCUAUGUAGCUGAAACUACAGGCAUGUGAUACCAUGCCUGACUAAAUUUUGUUUCUUUUUUGUAGAGACAAGAUCUUGCUGUUGUCCAGGCUGGUCUCGAACUCCUGGGCUCAGCAAUCCUCUUGCCUUGGCCUCUCAAAAGUGCUGGGAUUACAGAUGUAGUCACGGCAUCCAGCAGCAUACCUUACUUUACAAAGCACUCUACAGAUCCAUUAUUUCACUGGUUUCAAGUGCAAGUGAAAAAAGUUGCAUAAAGACUUGCAUCGGCCAGGCACAGUGGCUCAUGCCUGUAAUUCUAGCACUUUGGGAGGCCAAGGUAGGCAGAUUGCUUAAGCUUAGGGGCUCAAGACCAGCCUUGGCAACAUAGUGAGACCCCCGUAUCUACCAAAAAAAAAAAAAAAAAUAGAAAAAAUUAGCUGUGCGUGGUGGUGUAUGCCUGUGGUGCCAGCUACUUGGGAGGCUGAGGUGGGAGGAUCACUCGACCUCAGAAGGUCAUGGCUGCAGUGAGCCAUGAUCGUGCCACUGCACUCCAGCCUGGGCGACAGACUGUCUCAAAAACAAAACAAAGACUUAAACUGCAUUUAUAGUUUAAAAAAAAAAAAGCAACAAUCAAAUUGGAAUGCUUUUUUUUAUUUCUAUUUUAUCCUGUGCCAGAAACAAGUCAACAGCACAGAACCCUGAUCUGAACAAGUAUGAUUCACCACUGAGUAAUAUCAAUAAAACUGGAUUUUGUAGUGAAAUAGUUACCAUACAAAGACAUUCAACAGCCAUAAUGACUAUUUUCUAAGACUAUGUAUAGCAUUAUACCACUGAUGCCUGGGAUAUGAGUUACAAAAUUAAAAUUGCCUAAAGCGUCACAUGAAAAAUUUAACCUAGGUCUGGACUAUGUUCUACUAGCCUAAUAAAUUGGACAGACACAGUAGGAAAUUCUAGAGAAUAAUGUUUCACCUUAAAAUGUUCAGGCAGUAGAGAGAAUGCAAAAUUCUGGGAGCCUUGCUCAAGUUACAUUAAAAAUUCAUCACAACAGUGAAGGCUCAUGCAUUUGGUGAUUUAAAUGAAUUAAAUUUAAAACUAUAUGUAACUCUAGAUGUGCUGCCUCCUCACUGGGGAGCUAUCCAACUCUGAAGGAUAAAAUCAGAAUUAAAUAUCUGUGCACAGAAGUUAGGUCCAUCCGAUCUUCACUUGGGGAGCUUCACAGUUGGUUCCAAAGCAGACAAGACUCCAACUGGGAGAUUUCCACAGCUGUACCAUGAAUGGUCAUCGAGGACACGGGCUUCCCAACAGGGCUGAUACCAACUCACCAAGGUGGGUUGUGCCUGCUGCCUCCAGUUCCUCUGCCCUCCAUCAGUCCUUCAUCCUUGCAACUGAAUUUCCACCCUCUCUACUCUACAGGCAUCCAAUUCCCAUGGCUAUCACUAAUACCAUAAUUACAAAACCCAACAGUUCUUCAGGCUUUAUUUGCCCCAAGUUUCUCCUUCACAUUUGACAACUUGGUAUUUCUUUCAUUCUUAGAAUUCCUCGUCCCAGCCUUAAGACACUACUAUCUAGAAUCUCACCCUUUUGCAGAGUCUUCCUCUUCUUCCUGCCCCUACAUAAGAGGGCCCUUCCUAGGAAACUGAAGACUGGAACCAUGCUUUCACACUAGGUUGAAGAAAGGCUUUGACAAAAGCAUAUGACUAAGCUGAGGGCACAGACCCUAGGGAACAGGGUAGAUGUUGAACUCACUAUGCUCAAGGCUGAGAGAAGAACCAGAACACUCUGGAGCAAAAAGAGCCUUGAAGGUCAUCUCCGUCACCUGCACUUCAGGUAAGAAUGAGCAAUGCAUUAUAAUAUACAGCCUUUCAAAUUUUUCAAAGUCAAAGGUGUCUUUCGUGACAGCAGGCCAGCUGUGGCACUAGUAUCACUCAGGAUACAUCUGGUUUGGAGUAAAGUUAGAGUUCUCAAAGCAAGAUGAAAAGGCUUAACUGGGAGGAGAAAAGUAUAAAGUACAUGUUAAAUGACUCCUAUAAAAUUUUUAAAAAUUACAAUCUGUAAUAGAUUGUGUUGGUAAGGAAGAGGAAUCGAUGGAUAAUGGCAAAGUUGUUAUCUUAAGAAUGGCCAAGUGCAGGCCAGGUGCGGUGGCUCACGCCUGUAAUCCCAACACUUUGGGAGGCCGAGGCAGGCAGAACACGAGGUCAGGAGCUCGAGACCAGACUGACCAACACGGUGAAAUCCCAUCUCUACUAAAAAUACAAAAAUUAGCCAGGCGCGGUACCACCGCGCCUGUAAUUCCAGCUACUCAGGAGGCUGAGACAGGAUAAUCGCUUGAACCCAGGAGGCGGAGGCUGCAGUGAGCCUAGAUCCCGCCACUGCACUCCAGCCUGGGUGACAGAGCGAGACUCCAUCUCAAAAAAAAAAACAAAAGAAUAGCCAAGUGAUGCUAUGUGUGAGAUGGUGAAGGUCGACUGGAAUUAGACCUCAGCUCUGCUGCAUAUGUGCCUAGUAGUUUAACGUUCUACAGUUGGGUUGAUGAUAGAGAGGAAGAGAGAAGCUGGAAAUGGAUACCUAAAAUUAAGUUUUCCAUAAGGAAUUAACAGUUCAUUUCAAUAUUCUUAAUGUAUGCUUUAAUGUAAGAGAAUGACUUGGUACUCUGGAAGUCAUCAAAUGUCAUUAACAAAAGAACUGGGAGACUUGGGCAGAAGGACUGAUGGGGGCACCAGUGUGCCUCAACCAGAAAUGCUUUCAGAAAGGUUUGCAGCGGGGUGGGUGUGGUUAUCAGAGGAUCACAAGUGGCUGUUACAACUGGUCAAGGCGCGAUCAGUGGCAAAGCAAGCCCCAUAGAUCUGAAGUAGUAAGACACUGCAACAGUUAGUUUUUAUAAAAGUUAACAUGCCAUGCAUUUUCUAUAGUUUCCUUUUUCACUUAAAAUAACUUUGAAACUUAUCUGACAGUAAAAAAUUCUGUUAAGCUCGUUUGGCAUAAUUUCAAAUCUUUUUCUGCAGUUAAAGUCACCAAGAACUAUCUGUAAUCCUGGAGGCAAAUUAUAAAAAUAAAACCUCUCUGGUUUUAGGUAGCUCAUGGUAUUAAAACACAACUCUAGGUUUUGCUUCCAACAGAAACAAUGGAAAAGUUUUAGAUUUUGCAGUUCUGCAGAUUGCAGUAUAAAUUCCUGAAAUGCUUGCUUCCCACCAGGGGGGCUGUUGCACAGCCUCUGCAGCUGUGGAGGCUGCAGGCUACCCUAACUCUUCCAAAUGUCAGGCUGAUAGGAGAAUAGCAAAGAUCCAUCGGAAGGGAGUCCGAGCUUUUAUGCUGUCAGAAAAAGGCUUUCAGUGGUUUUGACUGGAUAAUUCCACAUCUUAAGAAAGGGCUUCCCAAACAAACUUCACCAAAUUCAAGAUAAGAAAGCAUUAAGUUUCCUUACCUUCUUUGGAGCCUCAAAAAGUGUUGUGGCAUGAACAAAAUGAUUUGGGAGAAUAAUUAAAUAUAAACAAGAUGCUGACCUGUUCUACUUCAUAAUCAAUUUCUAGGUUUCUUUCUCACGUUUUUUUAGUAGCCUGAAAAAUGUACCUAAAAUCUGAAAACCUUACAUAUAAAUAGUGACGAGGCAACUACAAAAUAAAGAACCUAAUUCAACUUAUGGACUCAGCCCCCCGUGGCUGAAAAAACCAAAGUGGGAGGUGUUGUAGAGGAGGUGCAUUUCCAGUACCUGGCAACCCUGAAAACAGAAGAGACAGCCACGCCCUCGAGAAUUGCUUACUCUCAGCUAAGAAGAAAAUCAUGUUUCCCCCUUUAAAGCCCAUGACAAAUUUUACAAUACUGCAUCCUGAUGAAUUAACUACAACAUCGUUUUAAAAUAUUUUCAAGGAGUAAAAAUUUGACAUAAAUAUGAAACAAGAUACAAUGAAAACACUCAAAAUUCAUUCUUCACAUUUGGUUACAGAAAUGCCCAUAUGAACAAUGGUCAAGCCACAUGACUAAUUAAUCAAAUCAGGCUACGAUAUAUCCACAGAGAUAAAUUUAAGGAAAAUCAAGAGGAUAUACAUUCAGAUUUUGGCAGGUGGCUCCCAGUGAGAGAGUAUUGAUAAGGGUAUGAUAUUUCUAUCUGAUUGUAUUUUCUCAGAUGAGCACUUGGUUACAUUACACACAAAAAAAUGAAUACAUGAUUUUUCAUAAAGAAGACGCCAACAAAAGUAAAAACAAUGAGAUAAUUGAAAAUGUUUUUAUUGGUUGAGACAAAAUAUAACACUUUAAAAUUUUGUAAAAUACGCAGUUUUACAAGUGCUAUUUGGAAAAAGCCUCUACUUUGUACUUGGCCUAGAUGGCAAAAAGUACUGCUCAAGUGUUUCUCUCUUGUCUACUGCCUACCCAUAAAACUCAGGAAAACCGUUCAGGAAAAAAACCACAAUCCCCAGUAACAUCAAACCCACAAUGGACACACAGUUAUAAAGACUUUAAAGGGAUUAAAAAUACAAGAGAUACCAUUAAAUAGCCAAAAAUGCUUAGCAUUCAAAUUACCCUGUUAACCUUUUGGUAGACAUCUUUCAAUUCCAUGCUACACAUCAUCACUUCAAACAAAAAAAUCAUCUGUUUCCUCUUUCCAAACAGCCACAUACCCCAUAUUCUUUUUCCUGUUCACCGCACUUGGUUCUUAUACCCAUCAUUAUUUAAAUCAAAUAUCUAAUUUAAACAAUCAUGUUGAAUGCCUGCCAGUAUUAACCUAAGGGUCGAUGUCUUGGCAGUUGGCUGUGAUCAUCAUUCUUUACCUCAGCCUUUAUUUUGCUUCUCUUAAAAAUGCAAAGACUAAGCAACGGCAUUUGAAUAUGCCACAUUUUAGCAGAGGUUUAUAAAAACAAGAGCAUUUACAGAGAUACUAAGCUACCUAAUCACUCGGCCCACCAUGAAAUGAGGCACUUUUAUUCCAGCACAGGUUUUCAGACUCAGCUCCACUGCUGCUGAUCAAACAGAUCCCACUGCUGUGGAGGAUCUCAACUGUGCCCCAGCCACCUCCUGCCUGCAGCUGUGCCUCUAUGAGCACUCACGGACCGACACAUCAUCCACAUAAUCGCAGGGGAGGAUGUAAAGUUCCAUCCACCAAGGGAGCCAGGUAAAGCCGGGAAGCCUGAGGAGCGCGCGCUGUGGACCUGGCCUUGCUAACAGGCUCUGGCACUGAGAAUGGAGCCUUUCAGAAGCACACAAUCUUCCUUGGUGCUGGUCUCCAAGGAUUAUCCCACAUUGUCCUUGAGCUGAGGCUUUUCUAUUUUUUGCCAAUAUAGGGGUAAAGUAAUGACCACAGGGAACAAACUGAGCCUGGGAGGAAGGCUCACAGAGGACUAGGGCUUGAAACAGGAGUCCUUCCUAGGCCAGCGUCCAAUGGCUGGUGGAAAGGGUCUCUCAACCUAUGCACUCAUUUCACCUGCUCCCAGCAGGUUCCUGUGUCUCCAAGGUUACUCGUGCUCCCUGCAAAGAGCUGACGCUAACUGAGGCGAGACAGUGGGCUAGGCUCUUGUCCCCUUCCCCAGUGUGGUGGUGGCACUCACAAUAGUAGGUCCUCAAGGUAAGUUUGGUCCACAAAAACAGAUACCCAUAAAAGUGAAAUAGCAUGAAACACUGCUGCGCAGCCCUUGGGCCAUGAUUUGAUUAACAAGAAAUAAUCCCAUUCGAGGCAGAUGGGAACCAGCUCUGAUAUAUACUGGUAAUACUGAUCGGAUACUGUUGUCAAAGAGAAGUAAAUGAGGUAAUGCACAAAACGAAUGCCACACAGUGCCUGGCACAGACUCAAUAAAUGGAAUCGAUUGUAAGGAGUAUCCACAGAUGCUACUAAACAAAUUACAGAAAGUGCACGCCUACAAAUCUAAAUUGUCGGCAUAUGUUCCUUCAUAUGAAGACAAUGGCGUUCUGCUUCCACUAACAAUUCCUAAUUCAUCCAUUUGUUUUGUUCAUUUGUUCUCCGCUGAUUCACAGGAUCCCACCCAGAUAUUAUUAUAAAAAUGUACAAGUCCAAUGAAGACAGAAGUUAGAGAGAAUUCUGUCACUCACUCACUCAUGUCCACAUCAGUAUAUACUAAUGCUCUAACAGUGUAAGCUGUGAGUGUAUUUCAUUUUUAAAGUCUGUAACCUACUGAUUUUAUUGCUCCUAACUGUCUCUGCUUGAGUUUGAAAACUGAACAUACUGGUUCACUGUGGUGGUUCUUAAUCUUUCGGAGAGGAGACUUCUGAGUAUCAAGUAACACCUAAGGCCCUUCUCCCCAGUCACAAACGGACGUAAACACAACAUUUGGUAGACAACACUGGGGGUCAGGGACUCCUGUGUUAUUACAAAGUUAAGCUGUGAGUUUGUACAAGCAUUGUGUAUCAACAGAAGGAAUGUACCUGUGCGACUGCUGAAAAAGAACUCCAACUCCUCAGAAAGCCCAGUCAAGAUGCUGCACAGAUCAUCGGGACAUUUCUUCCCGGAAAACUGGUAUCGUCAAAUUAAUUAGCACCUUCUAAGAAAACUGUCCUUUCGUCCAUUUGUUUUUUUCCUGAUUUCACACCCAGAAAGACUGUAAAAAAAAAUUUGUCAUAUACAGCCCUGAAACUGCUCCCACACAAUUACUUUCAGGGCUGUCUGAUAAUUUAAUACCUAAGAAAAUGUUAAGAAAAAUUCAUUCACAUAAAAUCCUCUUAUAACUGUCAUGAGUGCUUUGGACCACAUAAAGGUAAGACGAGCAAACAGUGAGACGUGUUUGCUUCUGCCCAGGCAAAUGGAACAAAUCAAAUUCCAAGAGUUACCUAAUGCACCAACCUAUGUCACCACAGGUGUCCUCGUUUGGUUAACAGUGAAACAAGACAGCUUUUAAGAGAGAAGCAGGUUUCUUGCACAUGAAGAAUUCCUUAGUGCCACGAUGUAGCUAUUUAGGUGCAGAUCCAAACAGGCCCUUUACUCUUAACUAAUUUGAAACCCACUUAAUUCACUCCACGAUGCAAAAGGAAAAUAUAUGGAUUUUAAGAGAACUUGUUACACAAGAUGGUGAAACUGCUCAUUUUUUUUUUUUUUUAGAAGUGUGCCAACCGGCCAGAGAACGGCAGUUACCACAGAAUGUAUUUUGCUGGUGCCCACCAUUACAAUGGGAUGAACCAAAGGUUGGUGUGCCAGGAAUGUUCCUAUAAUGUUCUCACUUAAUGCUCACAGCAACCUUGUAGGGUAGGUAGCUCAUAUUCCCAUUUUAUAGACAGAAAAAUUAAGGACCAAAACAUGGAGAGUAACCCAUCCGAAGUCACAAUGCAAUUAACUGGUGCAGCUGGUAUGUGAAUCUGGUCUCUUAAUUCCAAAGCUAUGUUCUGGUGUAUCACAAUAAAUUCUGCAUGCUGCACAUCUCCUAACACUCAAGGUAUAGCUGGGUCAGCAACUUUCCCCCUCUCCCCUCCAGCCAACAUACACGCACACUCCAGGCUCAUUUUAAACAAGCUAUCCAUUUUCAAAGUACUGAUCAAUCUGCAUCUAAUGCAAAAGCAACACUGAAGCCCAAGCAGUAUAUUCCCACCCACUAAAAAAAAUUUUUAGGCAGGUUUUUUUUUUAAUGUGCUUAGCAUAGAAACUGAAGGUAGGGGGAAGCACAAGAAUCAUUUGCUAUGAAAACAAAGUUCACCAAUUCCAUGUACUUUCUGACAAUCACCCAUGAGAUUUAUAGGAUCCUGUCUUUAAAACUUAAAAGGGUCAGACAGAAAUUGAGUAAGUAUCACUUUUUCUUGAUUUAAUAUUUUCUGCACUCUACUACAACCCCAAAUUUUAUCUUGGCAUACAAACAGUAAUUUACAUUAUCUUCUAUCCUGAAUUCCUGGAUUUAUAAUAACUAAAAAUAGGUAUUAAGCUUACCACUCAAAUUUGAUCUUAUCAAACAAGCCCAUGACCCACCUAACAAGGGAAGGACACUGUGGAUCACACCUUUAGCAAUUAACAAAAUUCCUAAAAUCAAGUAGAUUUGGAAUCUUAAACCCCUGGUCCAAAAAUCCAAGAUUGAGACCACUGACAACAUAUGAUAUUUAUUAUUAUUAUUGAUACUUUUUCCUUAUUUUCUUGGAUAUCAAAGGGAAAUUAUAAUUUCAACAUUAGUGCUAAUCCUACAAAAAUUACAGUCCAUCGUGUGUAAACAGUCAAGGAGAUUGUUCCACAUAUAAAAGAUCAAAACUACAACUAUUAUCAUCAUGGUGCUGCCCACAGCGUAAACCUGCUACAGAAGAUUAGAAGACUUGGGACCCAGCUAUGACCAACAUUAACAUCGUCAUGGCAAAAGCACCAAGACAAGAGGUGGACAGUAGGAACUCUCAUUUCUCACAGGCCCUUAGACAUUCUGCUUAUGGCCAGUAAUCUCUUUAUUCCAGAGAAGCAGGCUCUGAUAAUCCCAAACAUGAAAGACAAAAAUGUAGCCAACAGAACCAGAAAGGCAUAUCCUACAUCUCAAACUGGCAACAGAAUGAAAACUGAACCUGAGAGGCCAAAUGGUAAAAAGAAUAACAAAAGGCUCAGAAACUGCAUUGUUGCCCAUUCUAAACGGCAUUGCAACUUCAAACAUUGCACAUAAUUCCGUCUUGGGGUUCUAAACAUGGGUGAACAAACCAGUUUGCCUUCAUUUUUCUGGCAUGUGGUGUUUCAGGAAAUCUACAAAAGACUGCCCCAAGAGGUAGGUUUAUAAAUACAAGAAAAAAGAUUGUUUAUCGCUGUAGUUUUCAUUUAAAAAAAAAAAAAAAAAGGGUAGGGGAAUUUUAGCCUAAGCAAUGCUGAAUUAGUUUUCUUUUUAACCGGCCAAUCCUUUGCUACUCUCCAUAACUGGUAACAGACAGCUAAUUCACUAAGAGUGAAAUUAGUUUUUCAUCAUUCAGACACUGAUUAAACUAACAAGAACAUAUAAAAUUGAAAGUCAUGAAAAGUAUCAAAUUAGCAGUAUUUUAGAUGUUAUAUUCUUAUCUUAUAAACUGUUAUUUUUAUAUACCACACACACAGUAUCAUUAUCUUAUUCAUUAGAAUAAAUCUCUUGCCUCUGAAACUAUUCAAAUAGUCUAUUAAAAAUAAAAAAUGGUAUGUACUUUUAAUAUAUAAGCAUCUAAAAUAACUACACGUUGACUAGAUUAUUAAAACUUUCAUCAAAAUAUUUUUAAAUUUCAGGAUCAUGGCCACAGAAGCAGGAAUAGCAAGCAGCUACAAUAAAUGCUCCAGAACACUGAGAAUUUUCUAGUCUCUUACCCAGAAUCCCUUAGGAUAUUUUCUUAAUAUACGCACCAAGUUUUAACCUUUUAAACAAAGUUACCUUCUCCUAUUUUUCAGAGAACAGGUUAGAACAGAAAGAAAAAUGCUAAAGACCUUUGAAAAUUGAAAGCAUAGAUUACAAACUGUAGUUCUGCCUUGCCUACAGUAUGUUUGGGUGGUUGGGGCGGGUGUUAACUACUUACUUUUUUUUUUUUUUUUUUUGAGACAAAGUCUCACUCUGCUGCCCAGGCUGGAGUGCAGUGGUGCGAUCUCGGCUCACUGCAACCUCCGCCUCCCAAGUUCAAGCGAUUCUUGUGCCUCAGCCUCCCGAGUAGCUAGUAUUACAGGCUCCAGCCACCACCACGCCCAGCUAAUUUUUGUAUUUUUAGUAGAGACGGGGUUUUACCAUGUUGUCCAGGCUGUUCUCAAACUCCUGACCUCAGGCGAUCCACCCACCUCUGCCUCUCAAAGUGCUGGGAUUACAGGUGUGAGCCACCGCGCCUGGCUACGACUUACUAAGUCUUAACAAUCAAAUAAAGUACUCUCAGUAAAAGUUCCAAGUAGAAAAAGCCACAUUACAUUUGGCUACAAACUCAAGCAGUUUUAAAAAUUUUAUAUAGACAUACAUAUUCUAAGAAUCUAUUGUGGGAUAAAGACAAUGAGGAAAUCAACGCGUGCCCCUCCUUAGGAAAAUUCAAGAGCACACAUGGAUAGGUUAGGGUGACUCUUUUCACCUUCUGGUCUUCUUUAAUGCUUCUCCUCUGGUAUGAGUCAAGCAGCUAGAAUAGGAAAGCUUUAUCAGCAAACAAAACCUCUUAGGAAGGUACUGCUUCAAAUAGUUCAUGUGCAUUCCUCUUAAAUGAAAGUUAAAAAAAAAAAAAAAAAAAAAAGCUAUCCACCUCUGCAAAUAAACAUUUUGGCAAAACAAAUAAAAAACAAAAUGUCACCACCUAAAGCUGAAAAGACUAACAAGCAUGAUGUAACUCAAUUAUAUCCACAAACAAAUCAGAAUUGCACUUACAGUUUCUGUAAUUAAUCUUUAGACUACACAUUAAUUAAAAAGCAUGUUCAUUGUCUAUAUAACAUUCAGCUUAAGAAAACUUUAAAAUGUGUAUUUUUAUUGGUGGAACAACCAGACUGUUAACCCAGUCUCAACACAAGACCAGUGCUGCAGAGCUGACAGCUAAAGCUUCUCAUCAAUAAGACAAAAUGAAAGAGCUCUAUAAUCCUAAACUCGAUCCUCUGCACUGCAGAGGGAGUUAGGCAAAAGCAAUGUCUUACUGUGCUCUUUUGGUUUCAAAACUAAUGCCAAAAUAAUAUAAAACCUAAGAGAAAGAAAAUAUUCAUUAGAAACUUAAACCAACAAAUAUGUCAUUUAAAAAACACUUGAAAGACAAUAGCUAGAAAGCAGUAAAAAUGCAAUCUGUGUUUUUAAAAACUAUUUGGGGUGUUUGAAGGAAUACAAUAUACCUAUGCAAUCCAUAAAUCUCCAAAGCAAAAACAGCUGAAGGUGUCACCAUGACUGGUCUCUCCUACACCAAACACUUCACUUAAUCAUAGUCUUGGUAUUUAGAAUUAAAGUGGGCACUUCUUACAGUGAGCAGUGAAAAUUCACCUUGGCUAGUUAGUAAAGCAAAUAAAACACUGCAAUUUAUACAGUAUAACUGUCCUACUUAGAAACAUCAUGCAUAAAAACUGGAUUUAGACAGACAGAGCCUUUUAUUUAGGACCUGUGUGAACUCGGCCAAAGCACAUAACCCCUCGGAGCAUCAGUUUCCUCUUCUACAAAUGAGGAUAUGGAUCUCAACUUCGCAGGAUUAUUGGGAGGAUUAGCUAUGGUAUACACAGAGCAACCAACAUAAUGCUAGAAACGAGUGUAACUGCUGUCAUUGUCACCAUCAACAGAAGUGAGCAAUUCAUGGCAUAAUGACAUGAUGUGCAAAUAAGUGUCAAGUCAUGACAUAUGUCCACAUCAAAAUACAUUGUAAUAAAUGAAUUCAUCCAAGAACUCUUGUAAUGUAUGAAAACUGGUUUAAUCUGGGUGGCAAAAAGAAAAACAGCUACUUGCAGUAUUUCUCUUUUUCACUUAGAGAAUAGCAUUUUCAAGUAACUUUUGUUUCUCCAUGUCAUUCAGCUCCUCUAAACUAUUUCAACCAAAUUAGGAAUAUUAAUAAAACACUCUGAGCCAGAUGGAUGGUCAAAAUAAAACUUCAGGCCUGUACUUGGCAGCAUGUGAAAUAUAAACAAGCCAUCUGAAUGCCAACAAAGUACCAUGCCAGUCUACCUGAAACUUCAGCUUCAGUUCACCAUACAACAUUUAACUAAAAGAAAAGUCUAUUUUUAACCUCCACAAUGGUGUUCUUGGGAUAUUUAUCCAAGCCCUCAAUUCUUUUUUUUUUUUUUUUUGAGAAGGAGUCUCGCUCUGUUGCCCAGGCUGGAGUGCUGUGGCGCAAUCUCGGCUCACUACAAGCUCUGCCUCCCGGGUUCACGCCAUUCUCCUGCCUCAGCCUCCGGAGUAGCUGGGACUACAGGCGCCCGCCACCACGCCCAGCUAAUUUUUUUGUAUUUUUUUUUUUUUUUUAGAAGAGACAGGGUUUCACCAUGUUAGCCAGGAUGGUCUCGAUCUCCUGACCUUGUGAUCCACCCGCCUCAGCCUCCCAAAGCGCUGGGAUUACAGGUGUGAGCCAUUGCGCCCAGCCUCCAAUUCCUCAAUUCUUUAGAGGCAACUUUAAAUACAAAGCUACACCCUGUACAAGCCUGUAAUACCAGCUAUUAGGGAGGCUAAGGCAGGGAGACAGCUUGAGCUCAGGAGUUCGAGUCCAACCUGGGCAACACAGAAAGACCCUGUCUCUACAAAAUAAAUAAACUUUAAAAGUUAUUUUAUUGAAAAAUAAAAUAACUACACCCUCCUCUCUAUAAUGCUCCCACGAACAUUAGGUUUGAAUGUCGUAACAGCUAUCUGUAAACUGGAACAUGAAAUUGUCUAGGGAAAAAAAAACACUGAACGAGUUUAAAAAAAAACAAUAAAAAUUCAUCAUUUAGAAAAAUAACCUAGUGUUCAUAUUUAAGGAAAACACAGGAAAUUAGGUUUUUUACUUUCAAAUUAUAAGUGGAUUUGUAAAAAUCAACUAAAGUAUUUUGAACUAACUAUAAGGAUCUUGUUACCUCUUUUAUAUAGUUUAGAAAAUUUAAUCAUAAUCGAACUUUAUUUCUGUAUUAGGCAAGUCUUACCUUCCAAUUUACAUAUGGACAAGAGAACCAAAAUAACCACCUAAAAAUAGGGCACAGCAUGGUUCCCAAUACACUCAAUUAUGAUAUUUAAAACUUUUUAAUCAUGGCAUAUGUUAGGAUUUUUGCAAAUCCACCCACUAAAAUACAGCUAAAAAAUUUGCAAAAUGCUUUGAAAAAUUUACGUUAAUCCACAUAAUUUCCCUGUAAACAAGGAUAGACAUAAGAAUCAAAGGCACAAAACGAAAAUACUGACCAACAUUUUCAUCUAAAUUUGGAGCAAUUCAGUAGCAGCAGCAGAACUGCAAAUUUUUUAUAAUUCCCGAACUCCUACUGUUGAAAAACUACUAAUUAAAACCGUACUGAGCUUUUAAAAACAGACCGCCACCAUAACAGCAGCAGAGUUCAUCCUGGCAGGCAACCACCAGAGACGGGACAUUCAAUGCUCAGCAAAGGCACCCUCAGCUAGGAGGCAGCCAGAAAGCUACAGCAGAGACAGGCCCCUCCAAGACUGACCAACCCAGAAACAGCUCAUUUGUGUCUCAUGCCACAAGCUUGCCAGCAAAAAGCCAGACACAGGAAUACUGCCAUGUCCAAGCACUCCACAUCCUGCUCCAGCACCUGCAAACAGGAACCACAGGCCAGUGCCCUAUAAGUCAGUGGGCACAGGACCUGCCCACCAGGCACCCAGUAGGCAUAGGGCCCAUCUACCAUCAUCCUCAGACACCACAGCCAGGCCUCUGUCAUUCAGCUUAGAGCCUGAAACAGAGCUGCUGGCUGCUACGAAAGGUUAGGAGAUCAAACUCCACGGAAGCCCGUCCACUCUCUGCUUUUAUUAAAUGUAUUCUCUAAGUUCAACUUUAAAUGGAACCAAUGCUGUCACUUCUGUUGUUGUCAACUGCAUGUAGGAGUGGACAAAAAGCUCCACAUUAUGUAGAAGAAAAGGCAUGGGAAAACUGGUUCAAAUUCUGACUGUGACACUCAUUGGUAGGGUGAUCUUGGACAAGUUAUCCAAUUUUGGAAAGUGUCCUUUUCCUUCUCUCCCACAUCAACCAGAACACCCACUAAGUCUGACCUGUGCGUGGCUGUCAUGAAACGGACUGGAGACUCCGCACUGGAGGAGGAUGCUGCCUGCUGUAGUCAUCUCUCUCAUCUCCCCCACCAACCAACCCAGCCACUUGGUGCAGCGCCUGGCAGAAAAAGGGCCAAUAUAUGUCCAUUUGCAGAACUGAGUUUCAUAAUCCAAAAAUACUCAUGUAGGUUUCUACAUGAGUAGAACUGCUAAUAGAACUAGGUCCCUCUUCCUGGAGACCUCAGCCCCUAGAACUUCCUGUGUCACUUAUGUCACAACCUCAGAAUGGUCACCCCUGAUCUCCCACCUACAGUCAGGCCAUACCUCCUCCACCCACCCUGCAAAACACUACUGACAUGACAAGGUUUACCUACUUCAUCUGUUGGCCUGUACUCCCCACUCUCCAGAAUGUGAUUCCAUGUGAACAGGGACCCUUGUCAUUUUAGUUCUUUGCUGAAACUCCAGCACCCAGAAUAGUGCCUGACACAGAUGCAAGGAAUACUUGUUAAGUAACAGAAGGGAAGACCAUCCACACAGUCACAACUUCUCAGUCCCCAAGGUUCCUCUUGAUGUCCUCCUCCUUCCUCUCUCUCUUCUGAAACAUCCCCAUCCUGCCACUCUUUCUACAUAAAGGCUCCCUAGCCAGCCCAGCCCAGCUCAGCAUCCCUUUUUCCUUCUCUUAGGGAGGGUCAAUAGUCCUUACUGCCUAUACCAUCCGUGUUGCACUUUUUUUAGACUACCUUAGACUGAGUUAUCUUUGCAUGUGGCUGUCUUACCUCCCUAUAUUUUAAGUUUCUAAAGGCUUGUUAUUUCGCACCUUUAGAGAAGAAUUUCAAAUAUGUACAAUUUCAAAAAACUUGAGUGUCGUCACAGUACCAAGGUUUUUAAUUUAAACAAUUCUGAUCGUAGAGACAGAUAAAAUAUUACUUUGCUAAGCUGAUUAUAAUUUAACUGUUCUGUGGUGACUAAGAGUCGCUGAGAUAAAUACUUAUAAGCUAUAGCUGAUAUUCUCAGGCACUACUGACGGUUUUUAGGAAGGACUAUCUGAACCUACUAACUGACCUUAAGGAACUUGUUCUUUAUAAUUCAUUACCGAUUUUGUAAUAAACUUUCUGUCUUCUUCACUAUCCAGCUUUCAGGUAUAAAAACUUCUUGCCGCUAUAAACUCUUCUCUCUUAAUUUGCUGUGAACAGCGAGGUCAAUAGGUUAGAACCUAAAAUAAGGGUGAAUCAGCACAGAAUGAGGCUGUGACGUAGGAGGGAAGAGGGAAAGAAGAGACCCAGUGCUUAUUUUGGGCUUACACAGGUGCUCCAUAAAUCCCCAUUGAUUAAAUGAGUCACCAACUCAGUAGUUCCUCCGCAAGUAGCAGGGAAGUAAACGCCAGCCAUGUUCUAAGGAGUGGUACUUACAGUUCCCAAGAGCCCACAGCUUCACAGAGCAUGUUUCUAUUAUCUCACUUGCUCUUGACAACUUUGUGAGGUUAGGUGGCACAAGCAUCAUCGAUAUGAUGAUAUUCAUUUUUAAGGCUAGGGAAACUUCAUCUCAGAAAGGUGACAUGAGCUGUCCAAGAUCGCACACCUGGUAAACGCCCAGGCAUCCCGUCUUUUUCAUUCCUUCCACUAAGCCCAUUUGUAGAAAGCCACUGUUGUUUCUCCAGGUAAAAGAACUUCAGGUUAAGGCUCUUAUGUAACUGAGAGAGCAGGGAAAACACUCUGCUAUUAUAAUCUACACUCUGGAAGAGCAUUUGCCAACAGUCAUUGCUUACUGCUAACAAGCAAAUUCAAUUUCUCAUUUCUCACCAAAACAAACAGGGGACAGAAAUCAAGAAGAUGAGAAAUACUUCUAAAUUUGACCGUUUCUAUGCUAUUUUAUAAUUAUAAUUUUUCUGUGGUUCACAUUAAAAUAGCCUGAAACACCUGACACUAAAAACCCUCCUUGCUCUCUACCUGAAAGAUUAAUCUAUUCCAUCUAAGGAACUUAUUUUCCAUUUUACAGAGGCUGCUCAGAUAUGUAAAAAGUGAAGCUCAAUUACAAAUCUGGGAAUCCAAAUUAAAGUCCAGUUUAAAAUGCUGAUGUAUAUCCAUCUUUGGCCCAUGGCAAAAAUGCACGCUCCAAGGUCGCAGACAAUAUGAACUGUGUUCUCAUAGCACUGCAUUCUUUUCCUUCCUAACACAUUUGUGUGAGUCAUUGCCAAUCAAUGAAUAUUUAUUGAGGGCCUACUACAUGCCAACUGUCUAGGCACUGAUCAGCUAUUUACUGAUUUAACGUUUGUCGGCGCCAUAAGAAGAGUCGCCGCUGCUUUUUUGCUCAUCACUGUGUGCUACAACCCAGCAGAGUGCCUAGUACACAGCAGGGGCUCAAUAAACAUUAGAUGAAUGAAUGAAUAUGGGGAGGGGAGGGGAGGGGAGGAGAGAAGAAAGGUGAUGAGGGGAGAGAGAAGGGGCCACUACUUUGUAUAUAAAGAAAUCAGGGCUUUGCUCUACCCAAACACGCCUUAUGAUCCACCAGCGAUCUGAUGAAUUCUGAAAGGCACCACAUGCAAUGCACAGCUGUAAGUAUAGCAGCUGUCACGCAAAGGAGCUGAGGUCCAGAACUAUGAAGAAUUCAGCCCUUUGUUUUUCUCUCUGUCUCAUAACGAAAAUGAAGUCAAGCCCACUGUCAAUCUACCUGUCGGCUCUAUGUAUUCAACAUGCGGCUUUCAGCAAUACUAAGUUAACACUGCCUCUGAAUGACAUUUAUGUUGAUUCACUCUCUGACAUCACUGCCUGAAAAGAUAUUAUUUAAAUGUUUGAGGUCACACAUAAGACCUAAACAGAACUGAGUUAAUUAAAAAAAAAAAAAAAGACUCCAUUUCAGGUCUUUGCAAGCUAUAAAUUGGUUUUAACUGAGUAUUUAAUUUAAAAGUAAAAAAGGUUUGACUCAUUACUUAAACUCUCCAAAGUUUAAGUCUUAAAGAGCAAAUAGGUCUCUUUAACCAGUAAGCUGUUAAAAACAGACUGUAAGUUCCAACAGAGAGCUCUGCAUAAACAUAAGUCUUUUAAUUAAUUAAAACCUAGGAUUCUGGGUUAUAGGCUGCCCAGAGUAGUACAAAAUAAUAGGAUAAUAAGAAAUAUGAACUAUUUAAUACGAAACACCAACAGUCUACGCAGGUAUAAAAAUGCAGCUAUUAAGUUCAUAUAUCACUAAUAAAACAAAAAGUAUAUGUUCAAGUUUUUCCCCAAAUCCAACCAAGAGAAAAAUAAACAGAUAAACAAAAAAGCAAAAGAGUAAUGACAUAUGUUCUAAACAUGCACACUAAAGUAUGCCAAACAGAGAAAAGCGUUAAAGUAAGGUUGCUAUUAAACUACAAAUCUAUUUAAGUACAGGAGUUAGUUAUGAUUAGUGGCACAGUAAAGAGGGUACUGUCCUCCCCAUCUCCAGCCCCCUACAAAUAACUUACCCGGAAGGCUGGUAACAUUAGUUAUAAACAAAAUGAAUACUAAAUAAAGAAACAAGUUGAAUUACAUAAAAAGUUUUCACUACAAACAGUUAAGCACUAAGCCUAAUAGCAAUAAAAUCCCAGAACUCAGUUAAAAGUUAAAAAAAAAAAAAACUGGGAAUUUUCUAGACUCUGAUCGUCUGAUUCAGGAUCAAAAGCAUUUAAUGCUCUGAAGCAGUGACUACAUCACAUUCAAUAAAUAGACAAUGCAUAUUCAGUAAUAGGCCUACUAACUGUUUCACGGGGGAAUUAAUUCUAUUUCCAUUUUGUGGUGACAUACAAAGAAUACAUACUUGAAAAAUCAGAACAGACUUCUUGCCUACAUUCCUUAAUGCCGAUUUUAACAUUUUCCCAAAUCGAGUUUACGAUAUGAUUUUAUUUACAGUAUGACUUCCACAACUCACUUUGCAAUGUUCUGGAUAAAGGAUGGACUCGUUCGUUCAGAUGACUAAAAAGAAAUCUACUUAAGACCUAAGGAGAGCAAAAAAAAAACAAAAAAACAAAAAAACAAAAAACACAAACCUGUAUUUGUAUCAAUAAGAAACUAACCAUACUGUGCCUUGGCAUAUUUUCAAACUGGGAUCUAUGAACUAUUCCCCAAUUCACAUUAAAAUUCUUCAUUAAAAAAAAAAGCCCCAACGUGUCAGUAUGCCCACUGGAAAUAUGAUACAGCCAACCAAACUAUUUUCCUACCCAGAAAUUAUCCCCUCCCUUUUUAAGUGUGACUACACUUUACCUUUUGUUCGAAAUCAUCAGAAGUCGUAAAACUAUGAGAAUUGAGUCAAAACGACAAAACAACACGCUCUCUAACUUCCACAUCCCCCUGGGCAUCCUUUCG